GAGGGAGAUGUUGAACUCCCGUAUGUACCCACUCAAGUGCUUCCCUACAGUUAGAAGUUCAGAUUCUUGGAGGAUUGGACCACUGCAAAGAGGAAUGAUGGUGUCAGAGGACAGCAGACAGCGAUGACGCCCAUGCCUUCUCUGGUACUAGAGACAAACGGGUGAAAAGAGAAAUUGUUAUACAGAAUUGCAAUGUGGAGGGAGGAGCACAACAGAAGAGUGAGAGAAGAUGAGGUAUAAGAAGUUGUCAGAACCACGUCACGUUGGGCUUUGGAGGUCUACAGUGUACUUUCGAUUUUAUUCUCUAUAAAAUGGACAUUCCCUAGAAGAAUUUUUUGCUGAGGAAGGUUAUGAUCUAGUUGGUGUUUCAAGAAAUACUAUAUAUAUGUAAUAUAAAGACCAGACUAUAGUGAAACUGACCUAGAGAAAGAUGUUUGGGAGGCUAAGGGAAUAGUACGGGCAAGAAAUCAUGAUGCUUUGUUUGUGUGCUUUCUUGGAGAGGCCAGAUUCUCGGUAAAUUUCAGAGGUAGGACCAACAAAAUUUUCUGAUUAUUUGCAUGUGGACUGUAAGGGGAAGAGAUAACAUGAUUCUGUUAGUUUUAUUUUGCACAAUUAGAAGAACAGAAGUUGCUAUUCCAUUGAGAGGGAGAAAUAUUACCAAGUAAGUAGUGACUUCCAGGUCUUCUCUAGUGAUACAACAGUUCUCGCAGGAGGUAAGUAAAAGCUCUUUCAAAAGAUUGAACUGGUUCAGUGCCUCCUUAUGAUGUUGGUGCUUGAGCAUUUUUCACACUUGUUAAUGAAAGCUCAGGUUGGCGGCAGAGAUAAAAAUGAUUGGUAGAGCUAUUAGGGUAAUACGCACAGGGGCUAAUGGCUGUCUUGGUUGACAGGCAGAAACAAUGACUACUACUCAGAUGGCUUUAGGGACUGGAAGUGGCUUAAAGAAAUGUCAGACUUAGCACAGCCUUAGAAAAUCCCAGACCUCACUCUCUUUAUGUUACCAGAGUGUCCUAGGAGAUUUUCCAACUGGUGGAAUUUUACAUCAGUACUUAAUGCUUAAAUGCUGAAAAUUAAAUUGAUCUUAAUUUCUUCUUAAUUUGUAGGACAGCUCUUGUUUAUUCAGUAACUUGGAGUAGAAAGGAGCAAACUAGGACCACUUA